AUGGCACUCAGGCAGAUCAUUAUAAAAGAGUGGAACCGUCUUUUUAAUUAUGUAAAGAGCAAAAGAAUCGGCCGGGUGUGAUGGCUCACGCCUGUAAUCCCAGCACUUUGGGAGGC